rnacentral:rRNA from 2 species
UACGGAGGAUGCAAGCGUUAUCCGGAUUCAUUGGGUUUAAAGGGUGCGCAGGCGGAUUGGUAAGUCAGGGGUGAAAUCCCACAGCUCAACUGUGGAACUGCCUUUGAUACUGUCAGUCUAGAGUAUAGUUGAAGUUGGCGGAAUGUGUCAUGUAGCGGUGAAAUGCUUAGAUAUGACACAGAACACCGAUCGCGAAGGCAGCUAGCUAAGCUAUAACUGACGCUCAUGCACGAAAGCGUGGGGAUCAAACAGG